GGCGGCAUAGCAAAGCGGUAAUGCAAGGGACUGCAACUCCCUGACCCCCGGUUCAAAUCCGGGUGCCGCCUCCC
rnacentral:tRNA from 1 species